rnacentral:tRNA from 1 species
GGGCGUUUGGUCUAGGGGUAUGAUUUUCGCUUCGCAUGUGAAAGGUCCGGGGUUCAAAUCCCCGAACGUCCA